AACGAACGCUGGCGGCAUGCCUAACACAUGCAAGUCGAACGAGACCUUCGGGUCUAGUGGCGCACGGGUGCGUAACGCGUGGGAAUCUGCCCUCUGGUACGGAAUAACUCAGGGAAACUUGAGCUAAUACCGUAUAAUGACUUCGGUCCAAAGAUUUAUCGCCUGAGGAUGAGCCCGCGUCGGAUUAGCUAGUUAGUGAGGUAAAAGCUCACCAAGGCGACGAUCCGUAGCUGGUCUGAGAGGAUGAUCAGCCACACUGGGACUGAGACACGGCCCAGACUCCUACGGGAGGCAGCAGUGGGGAAUAUUGGACAAUGGGCGAAAGCCUGAUCCAGCAAUGCCGCGUGAGUGAUGAAGGCCUUAGGGUUGUAAAGCUCUUUUACCCGGGAUGAUAAUGACAGUACCGGGAGAAUAAGCCCCGGCUAACUCCGUGCCAGCCGCCGCAGUAAAAC
rnacentral:rRNA from 1 species